rnacentral:lncRNA from 1 species
CUUAAAUAGACUAGUUUGUAUGUAUUUUGUUAGUCUUAUUUAAUGAAUAAAACAAAUUAAAUGUGACAUUUUACCGGUUUAUCUCAGAUUUAACAUAUUAUUCAAUCAUGUCUUUAUGAAAAGAAUUGAAAUUUGCUUAGUUUUUAUAGUUUCAAGUCGACAUCUAUUUAGUCCUUGUGGUUUUAUUUUAAUCUGAAUGGUCAUUAAAGUCACGAUUUUUCAUCCAAUUGGUUAUUUUGUCAAUUUUCUCAGUUAAAUUGUUAACGUGGCCGUUAAAUACAUUGUAGUUUUUUAUGGCCACGUCAGCAAUUUAACUGAGAAAACUGACGGGAAGACCAUUUGGAUGAAAAAUCGUGACUUUAGGGACCAUUCAAAUUAAAAUAAAACCACAAUAACUAAACAUAUGUUUAUUUGAAACCAGAAAGACUAUAUAAUAUUUUACCCUUAUGAAAAUGUCCACAAUAAACUUGUUUUUUCAACUUGGUUUAUUCGUACAAAUUUCAAAUCAUGGAAACGCAACCCUACUUCCAUUCCCUUGGAAAUUAUUAUGCCUGUACAAGAUAUAAAAUAGUGUAAAUUAACUGUGUAAUAAUUCUAUCAUUACUAUUUACAGAAAUUUAUAAUGCAACCAAAUGUAAUGAGAAAAAAAAGGGGGAUUGGAAUUGAUUCUUGCAGAGUUCAAAGAGGACAAAUUGGAAGCCAAAACUAGUAAUGAGAAAAGCCAAGACAUACAAGUAGAAUCCAGUAUUUGUGUAGCUUUAGCCUUAGCCUUAGCCUGUGUCAACACUCAACACUUCAUUGCGCAUGCUGCUUUGUCAGAACCUUGUUUUCAAGCCAUUACCACUUCCUUGACUUAAUCCAUGCCACCACCCCCUCCUCCCCCUAUACCAACUAGCUCAGCAGCUAGGGUUGUAAUGUAAGUCAGUUAUCACUAAUGGAGUUUUCAUGCACCUAAUAGUAAUCCAAUAUUUUGUGAUGGAUUUCAAUUCAUAUGAUAUGCCAUUACAUUGGAAUAGUUGGGAAGAAGAAUUGUGAGCAAAAUCUCAUGCCACCCCUCUAUUCUCUCAACAUGCUUUGGAUUCUUUAUAGAGCAUAAUUGAGGAUUAGAAAGACUACAGACAAAAAACAUCACAUCUUAAUAGCCUAAUAGGGAAUUUGUUUGGAUUAUUACUGCUACCUGAUUUGAUUUGCACUAAUAGCCUAAUAGGGAAUUUGUUUGGAUUAUUACUGCUACCUGAUUUGAUUUGCACUUUAAGAGGAGGGGGGGUAAUCUUAAUUUCUUCUUAUUGGUCGACGAUAAUUCGUAGUUGUUAAGAAAGUCGAUUAUGUUGAAG